GACGACGCUGGCGGCGUGGAUUAGGCAUGCAAGUCGAACGGUAUCAUCCUUUCGGGGGUGAGAGAGUGGCGAACUGGUGAGUAACACGUAGGUUAUCUACCCUCAAGACGGGGACAACCCAGGGAAACUUGGGCUAAUACCGGAUGUGAGCAACUUUUAGUUGUUUGAAAGGUGGCGUAAGCUGUCGCUUGGGGAUGAGCCUGCGUCCUAUUAGUUAGUUGGUGAGGUAACGGCUCACCUAGGCAAUGAUAGGUAGGCGGCCUUAACGGGUGGUCGCCCACACUGGGAUUGAGAUACGGCCCAGACUCCUACGGGAGGCAGCAGUCGAGAAUAGUCUACAAUGGUCGGAAGACUGAUAGUGCGACGCCGCGUGAACGAGGGAGCCCUUCGGGGUGUAAAGUUCUUUUCUAUACGAGCAGUGCUAUAUAUAUGGAUAGUAUAUAUAGAGGGAUAGUAGUAUAGGAAUAAGCAACGGCUAACUCCGUG
rnacentral:rRNA from 1 species